rnacentral:rRNA from 1 species
GAUGAACGCUAGCUACAGGCUUAACACAUGCAAGUCGAGGGGAAACGGCAUUGAGUGCUUGCACUCUUUGGACGUCGACCGGCGCACGGGUGAGUAACGCGUAUCCAACCUUCCCAUUACUGUGGGAUAACCUGCCGAAAGGCAGACUAAUACCGCAUAGUCUUCGAUGACGGCAUCAGAUUUGAAGUAAAGAUUUAUCGGUAAUGGAUGGGGAUGCGUCUGAUUAGCUUGUUGGCGGGGUAACGGCCCACCAAGGCUACGAUCAGUAGGGGUUCUGAGAGGAAGGUCCCCCACAUUGGAACUGAGACACGGUCCAAACUCCUACGGGAGGCAGCAGUGAGGAAUAUUGGUCAAUGGACGGCAGUCUGAACCAGCCAAGUAGCGUGCAGGAUGACGGCACUAUGGGUUGUAAACUGCUUUUGUAUGGGGAUAAAGUUAGGGACGUGUCCCUAUUUGCAGGUACCAUACGAAUAAGGACCGGCUAAGUCCGUG